UACGUAGGUGGCAAGCGUUGUCUGGAUUUAUUGGGUUUAAAGGGUGCGUAGGUGGCCCUGUAAGUCAGUGGUGAAAUAUCUCAGCUUAACUGAGAGGGUGCCAUUGAUACUGCAGGGCUUGAGUACAGAUGAGGUAGGCGGAAUUGACGGUGUAGCGGUGAAAUGCAUAGAUAUCGUCAAGAACACCGAUAGCGAAGGCAGCUUACCAAGCUGUAACUGACACUGAGGCACGAAAGUGUGGGGAUCAAACAGG
rnacentral:rRNA from 1 species